UACGUAGGCAGCAAGCGUUGUUCGGAAUUACUGGGCGUAAAGAGUGUGUAGGCGGUGCUCUAAGUUCGGUGUGAAAUCUCCCGGCUUAACUGGGAGGGUGCGCCGGAAACUGGGCCGCUGGAGUACGGGAGAGGCAAGCGGAAUUCCAGGUGUAGCGGUGAAAUGCGUAGAUAUCUGGAGGAACACCCGUGGUGCAGACGGCUUGCUGGACCGUGACUGACGCUGAGGCACGAAAGCGUGGGUAGCAAACAGG
rnacentral:rRNA from 1 species